UAAAAAGUGUUAAUGGCACUUGUAUCCAUUACCCACCUUGUGUGCAAUGUCGGGGGAGAGGACUUUUUUUCUCUCCUUCAUAUACAUACUACUUUUUCAUCAUCAGUCUACAAUCUAUUUUAGAGGAUAAAAACUCGAAAAUA
rnacentral:misc_RNA from 1 species